AUCGAGUAACCGAUGGCCGUUGAAAAUUAUAAAACGGAAGAUAAAUCAUUGCACAAACAAACACCAAAAUGUAGAAGUAAUUUAAAUUGCGAGUAAAAAUGUAUUAAAUUUGUCAAAUCUCAUGCAUCAUGACUUCAGGACAUUGCAAAUCUGAAGUCAAAGCUGAAAAGCUUUGCCGAACAUGCCUGUCUAAGGAUAACCAAUUCCAUUCAUUGUUUGAAGUAUUAGUAGGAACAGUUACACUAGAUUCGGUAGUAUCGGAAAUAACCGGAUUAGAGAUUCGCAAGGGAGAUGGACUCCCUUCUACAAUAUGUGAUGAUUGCAGAGAAAAGGCAGAGAUUGCUUAUUAUUUCAAAAAGAAAUCGCAUGACGCUCAUAACUCCUUGAAAGAUCAACUAAAAAGAGAAAAAAAUGAAAACUGUUUACAACAGAAACAACAAGUUAAUAAGUUAGCAACUGUUACCAGUGUCAAAGUUGAACACAUCACAUCCCAAGAUAAUGAAGAUUUCUCAGAUUCAGAAUUCGAUGUUCUUCUUGCUAGUGAAUCUGAUAAUUUGACAGAAAUAGAUCUUGAGCCAGUUAAGAAUGAGAAAUCAGCACAAGAAACACAUCCAUCCUAUUUUGAAUGUAAAAAUUGUUUAUUGGUGUUUGAAUCUCAAUCAAAAUUACAAGAACACAAGAAGAAAAAAUGCAUAAAAGUUGAGUUGGAUGAAUCUGGUGGGACUUAUUGCCCUCUUUGUGGAACAUGCUAUGAUGGAGCUGAAAGUUGGUCCAAACAUUUGUGGGAGUCUCAUGCUGAAGUUAUGGGACCAAAGAAAAGAGGACGUCCUAAGAAAAUGUUAACAAGUUCAAUUCUGGAUAAAUUGUCAGAGAAUGGAUUCUUUAUAACAACUGUUCCUACCAAAAAGCUAGACUGCUCAUUCUGUACUAAAAAUUUUAACACCAAAGAAGAACUGACCAGUCAUUUCAUCGAACACAAAGGUAUGAAGGUACUGUGUUGCAUAAUGUGUAAAAAAAUGUUUUUGAAGAAAGAAAACUUUCAAGAACAUUUGUGUAUUGAAGACCGUAACGAAAAUAAGAAGCCAGAUGAUGCUAAUGAUAUGCAAGCUACAAAGAAAUGGAAUUAUCUAACUGAAAUGCUAUUACAAGAUCUGUUGGAGCCAAAUUGUGAAAUGGAAAACGUUGAUGUUCUAAAAGUGUGUACUGCAUGUAGUGCGAUUUAUCUUUCUGAUGAAGAUCUUGUGAACCACCAUGAUGCUGAACAUCCGGAGCUUUCCCUUCGUUGUAAUCUGUGCACAAAGGUUUUUGCAUCUAUAAAAUCAGCAGCAAGACACAGAGCAAUCUGCAAACAGGUUGAAAAGACACAUGAAUGCACUACAUGCGGAUUGAAAUUCGCAUAUGAGAUUUCAUUGAAUAAACACAUUCUUAAAUAUCAUCAAGGGCAGAGUGUGUCUAUAACAUUUGAGGAUACAGCUCCGAAAGGUGAAGAAGAUAAACAGUAUCAAUGUGAUACUUGCAGCAGACUGUUCUUCAGAAAAGAAUUAUUAGCCAAGCAUGCCAGGAUACACAUGCCAAAUCAAAAAUAUUUUCAAUGUGACAUAUGUGAAAAGAAAUUCACAAGGAAAGAUAAUUUACGGUCGCACAAGCGUAUCCAUGAUCCGCAUCGUGAAAAAGGCCCAUCGAAUACAUGUUUAUGCUUGUAUUGUGGUCGGAGUUUCUCCAAUUCAUCCAAUUUAAUAGUCCAUAUGCGUCGGCACACGGGCGAGAAGCCAUACAAAUGUGAUUUUUGUGGGAAAGGUUUUCCACGAUCAUCAGAUCUACAGUGUCAUCGAAGAUCUCACACCGGUGAAAAGCCCUGCGUUUGUGGUGUUUGCGGAAAAGGGUUCUCCCGCAGCAACAAGUUGACACGUCACAUGCGCGUUCACACUGGUGUCAGACCGUACAAGUGUACCUACUGCGAGAAGGCGUUCUCACAGAGCAACGAUUUGACCUUGCACAUCCGGAGGCACACUGGAGACCGUCCUUACAUAUGCGAAGUCUGCGGAGACAGAUUCAUUCAGGGCACAGCACUGCAGAAUCACCGAAGAGCCCACGGGCAUUUCCGCAACCCGACAAACGAUGUCCAGACGCAAGUGCAAGGUUUACAGUAUAGUGUACAAAAUGUUUCUCAGAACAGUCAUUAAGUAUGUUUUGUUUUUGAAAUUGAAAGUAUAGUAAAAUCCAUGUGGUACAGAGUAGGCCAAAAAUACUUGUGAAUGAAUGCCUUGAAAAGUAAUAUAAUACGUAUAAGUGUACUAAGAUAAACGUACCUACUAUGUAUAUACAAAUCUAAUAUUCUUCUCAGUCGUUCCCUCGCUGUUGAGGAUCGUGACUCUUCCCUAGUCUUCUCUCUGUUUCUCUCCAUCUAUUCCUAUUUUUUGCAUCGUUCGGAGCUUCGUUGACCGGCAUUUCUAGUUGCAGAGUCACUUGUUCAGACCACCGCUUUAGGCUUCGGCCGCCAGGCCGGUGACGAUAUUAUAUGAAAUAUUGACAUUAUAUAAUAAAUAUAUAAAUGGAUAUUUGGGUCUUCUUUGUUUUAAGUCAUCAAUGUAUCCAGAACGUUGUAGUUGAUUAAGUGACGUGCAUGUAUUUUGAACAAAUGUAGUCUUUCAUAGCAAUAGUAACAUCAGAACUUGACCGGUACUAGUGAAUACGGAAAUAACUGAUUGAGUUUCCUUGAACCGUCGUCGUCCAUUCGUUUAGUUAUUAUAUUUAAUAACUCUUCAUAGUUCGCUGAAUUUGUUAUGAAGAUUCACAGAUAAUUUACAGUCUGUAUAAGCCUAUUUUUUUGAUGAAUUUUCUCCUUAUGCUGAUAUGUUUUUGCUGGUGGAUUUAUGUACAACGGAUUUUAUUUUAGUUAAUAUACGACCGCUUUGUUUUAAGUUGUGAAAUAAAAUAAAAUAAAAAACGGACUGCGUCAUUAUAGUAAAGUGCUAACGUUUCUCAUAUUAUUUCAAUUAUUAAUUACCCCUUAAAAUAUUGUUAAUUUGACGCUAAAAUAUUUCACAACGGUUCUAAAAAUAUUCGUCAAUAAUCUGAUGCGACCAUCUAUCAACUUAGUAAAUAAGUAACAUAAAGUUUAAUGAUCUGCUUUAUCUUAACUUUACGAAACGAUUCGGUGUGAAUAAAUCUUCAAGAAAUAAACACGCCAACCCUUCCAAUCACUUCCCAGAAAGGUUUCGAAAUCGCGAAACAUCUACCCUGUAUUAUGUGGAAAUUAGGUACUUUGUAAUGUUGUAUUUAUAACUGUCGUGUAUUUAGUACGUUAUCAGUCUUGCAUUUGCAAUCUAAUGUAGUAUAAGUACCGGGGUUGCUAGUUUGCGGUAGAAUUAGUGUUUUUCGUAGAAAUGUAAAUAAAAUUAGAGAGAUAUAUAACGACGUUUGCUAAACCAAUAUCUGUUAUAUGCAGUUUUUAAAGAUUACGUCAAUUUGCUUAUUACCAACACAUAAGUUUAUUUUACUAAUUAAAAUUUCGUAUCAAAAGAAAAGAAGUAGUUAAACUUUUUGCAGAUGACAGAUAUUGUUUUGACAAUGACGAUAAUUAUCCAUAAAAUCAAGUGGUUAAAUGUUAGUGGAUAUUAUUGAACUUGAGAACAGCGAGUGUUUGAUUUAUGAUAUAUUUUUACUAUUGUACAAUAAAAUUUUCGGCUUACGAAUUUGGAAUUUGGAACAAAACUGUUCAGAAAAGUCAAUCAAGUAAAAUUAAUAUACUUUACAAUAUUUUAAGAGUUGACUUCAAUAUUUUUAUAUAGAAAACACAAAGUUAUGUUUUAUUUGUUUAGAAUUUUAUAUACGAAUCGUAGAAUUAUUUUCUAAAGAUAUAACUUGGAUCUAAAGUAAAUUUCCUCAAUACUAAUAAGAUAAAAGAGGAGUAUGAUGAAAUCUGAAGUUUUGAUACGGUGUUUUUUUAAACGGUGCUAUUAACCAGCUAUUGGCGUCGGAUAAGUACAUCAUUCGUAAGCAAUAAAUGCCGCUGGUAAACGUUUACAAGCGCUGAAAACCUUCAAUUUUUCGUUGUUGGCUUCAAGAUAAAGAUAAGUGCUAUUAUGUAUGUAACCUCUAUACGAUUUAUCUUAAAAGAAGUUAAUAUGUUAUAAAGAUGGUAGCUUAAAUGUUGUUUUGGUUGAACGAGCACCACCAAAACAACAUUUAAAGCUAUUGCUUCACCACUUUUUAUGUUUUUUAUAUUUGAAUAUUUAAAUUUCAUUCAUGUCCUCUUUAUAACAUAUUAACCUCUUUUAAGAUAUCUCGUAUAGAGGUUACAUAAUAUAUACCUAAGGUUUUAAUUAGAAUAUUUAAAAUGAUGUCUCAGGCUUUUAGUUUUUCCGUGUUUGUGUUUUUUUCCUACCUACGCUGAUAGCCUUGAGAGGCUAUAUCAGCGGAACCUUAACUAGUAGGUGAGCUCACGGGGCUCAAACCUGACGACAUUGCGAACACGAACCCUAGCAAUAGCCGUGCUUCGCAGAAUCUACCACCGGAUCGGAAACGCGACCCACUGAGAAGAUCCGGCGAGAAACUCAGUGGGCUGAGUCUGAGGGCUAAUUUACUCGUCGAGCCGAGUCGAUUAAAUAUUUGUAGAAUUUAUACUUUAAUAGGAAGUAAAACACCCGAUGCGCGUAGAAUACAAAUGCCUAAUAAACAAAAUGUAAGAGCUGGUGUUGUGGUGCUAAUAGAUGGUUAUCAAGCUGGAAUCACACUUAUUAGUUUAAUGGCUGGCUUGUCUAGUGGGUUCGGUCCUGACCCGCAUCUUAAUCCUAUUUCAGCUUAUUAUUUUACCAAUGUAUAUCGAUGGGCGCUGAGAUACUUCAGUCUUAUACCUUACUGGGCUGGAACCCACGAGAGUAAUUUUUGUGAAACGACUAAAGUAUGGCGAAGACGAUUUUAUUAUAUGAAUCAAUUCAUUCCAAAGUGGCUCAAAUACAUAUUUCCUUUUGUGAAAAACGAGGAGUGGGAAAAGGAAGAAAUGGAGUUCAAACGGUUCAAAAAGUAUUCAGAGUCUGCGUUUGGAAAACAUUUUCGAUAUCCGAGUAAAGUUUUUAAUGAUUAUAAAUCUGAAGAAACUCAAGAAACAGCCGAAAAACGUGAUGCGUCGUCUUCUGGUGUCGAUAAAUAAACAGUACAAGUUUAAUUAACUCAUAA